UGACCUUUGCCACUGGAUACCAGUGGACAGU
rnacentral:piRNA from 1 species